CUUGGUCAUUUAAAGGAGAUAAAAAUACUUAAUACAUGUCCGUAUGGGAACCAGCAGAGAGAUCAUUCCAGAGAUGCAAAACUCCUUCACCCACUAAGCACGUUUCCAAAACCAUAUUAAGGGGCAGGCCCGGUCCUUCCCGGUGCCCCUCGGCCCUCGCUGGCGCCCGCCGGAGGUUAACCAAAGCACCACCACGUGCGCCUAAAAGGGUCUUCUGUACUGAAUAAGUCAAAACUUUCCACAACGGAUUUUUUGGUUCUGGCAUUGAAGAAAAACGCAGCGAAAUGCGAUAAAUAAUGCGAAUCGCAGAAAUCAGAGAAUCAUUGAAUUUUUAAACGCACAUUGCGCCCGCCAGUAAUCUGGCGGGCAAGCCUGUUCGAGAGUCAUUUCAACCAUCAAGCCCCGGGCUUGUGUUGGGGACCUGCGGCUGCCGCAGGCCCUGAAAUGCAGUGGCGGGCUCGCUGUCACUCCGAGCGUAGUAGUUACAUCUCGCUCUGGGCGUGCUGCGGGUUCCGGCCGUUAAAGCCUUAUUUACCCAAGGUUGACCUCGGAUCAGGGGGACCCCGCUGAACUUAAGCAUAUCAAUAAGCGGAGGA
rnacentral:rRNA from 1 species